AUGGUAUGUACUGGCUUUACUGAUUCCUCCUUCUUGAAGAACUGUAAUGUCAUUAAUUUGGUGUUGCAGGGAAACAGGACUGUUACUUUGAAAAAAUUAGAGUGUUUAAAGCAGGCUAACGCUUGAAUACAUUAGCAUGGAAUAAUGAAAUAGGACGUUCGAUCCUAUUUUGUUGGUUUCUAGGAUUGACGUAAUGAUUAAUAGGGAUAGUUGGGGGCAUUAGUAUUCAAUUGUCAGAGGUGAAAUUCUUGGAUUUAUUGAAGACUAACUACUGCGAAAGCAUUUGCCAAGGAUGUUUUCAUUAAUCAAGAACGAAAGUUAGGGGAUCGAAGACGAUCAGAUACCGUCGUAGUCUUAACCAUAAACUGUGCCGACUAGGGAUCGGAUGAUGUUAAUUUUUUAAUGACUCAUUCG
rnacentral:rRNA from 1 species